AUUGAACGCUGGCGGCAUGCCUUACACAUGCAAGUCGAGCGAGAACCGGGGCUUCGGCCCCGGGGACAGCGGCGAACGGGUGAGUAACACGUGGGUAAUCCACCCUCGGCACCGGGAUAGCCCGGGGAAACCCGGAUUAAUACCGGAUGGCCCUUCCGCUCUUCGGGGCGGUCGGAAAAGGUAGCUUCGGCCUCCGGCCGAGGACGAGCCCGCGGCGGAUUAGCUCGUUGGUGGGGUAACGGCCCACCAAGGCUCCGAUCCGUAGCUGGUCUGAGAGGACGAUCAGCCACACUGGGACUGAGACACGGCCCAGACUCCUACGGGAGGCAGCAGUGGGGAAUCUUGCCCAAUGGGCGCAAGCCUGAGGCAGCGACGCCGCGUGAGGGAAGAAGGCCCUCGGGUUGUAAACCUCUUUCAGGAGGGACGAAGCCACUCGGGUUAAUAGCCCAGAGGGUGACGGUACCUCCAGAAGAAGCCCCGGCUAACUACGUGCCAGCAGCCGCGGUAA
rnacentral:rRNA from 1 species